rnacentral:siRNA from 1 species
CUAGCUGAGUAAACCCUAGCCGCC